rnacentral:rRNA from 1 species
UACGAAGGGUGCAAACGUUGCUCGGAAUUAUUGGGCGUAAAGAGCUCGUAGGCGGUUUGUCGCGUCUGCUGUGAAAACUGGAGGCUCAACCUCCAGCCUGCAGUGGGUACGGGCAAACUAGAGUGCGGUAGGGGAGAUUGGAAUUCCUGGUGUAGCGGUGGAAUGCGCAGAUAUCAGGAGGAACACCGAUGGCGAAGGCAGUUCUCUGGGCCGUAACUGACGCUGAGGAGCGAAAGCGUGGGGAGCGAACAGG